AAAAAAAAAAUUGACAAUUUUUAACAAAAAAAUUUGACGAGCGAAAAAAAAAAAGAGGAGAAAAUGUAGAACUUCUAUUGUGAUAGAAGAGUCCGGCUAUUAUACUCUUAUCAUGAGUACGAUUGCCCUCGUACUCAUAAGUUGUUUUCGAUGAUAGAGCUUCCGAAUCGACGAUCCACACCGUUAAAUAUUAUCUAGAGUAUUUAAAACGUCUAGAAAUUAAAUUUUAUAAUUUUUCGACAUCAUUUACUUUAUGAUCAAAAGGUUAUAAAAUUGACAAUUUUUAACAGCCGGUAUAGAAUAUUUGCUAGUUUAAUGGUGUAAAAGAAUCGAAAUCGGUUUAAGUUUUGAUAGAAAAUUCUAUUCACUGCAUAGAUAAAGAUCAAUAACUCCGAUCUUAAAUUGAAGGAUCUGAUCAUCCAUUUUUAAGACGCUGUUCGAUUUUGACCGUCAUUUUAUACUCGCUUGAUGAAUUUUAUUAUGAUUUCGAAAAAUUACGAAAUUUAUUUUCUAGAAAUUUUAAAUAUAUAUUCUAAAUCAUAUUUAACGGAGUGAAUCGUCGAUCGGAAGCUCCAUUAUUGAAAACAACUUAUGAGUAUGAAGGGUUCUGUACUCAUACGAGUACAGCAACUCUAGCCUGAUAG
rnacentral:lncRNA from 1 species